rnacentral:lncRNA from 1 species
UCCCUGCCCUGGGUUCCCAUCCAGGCCACUUUAGAGGACAGUGUCCCCAAGAUGUACGUCUCAGCCAGGACCCCCAGAGCAGCCAGAAAAAGAGAUUGAGAGAAGCACACAGCCCCUCCCCAAGAUCCAGGAUCCUGAGAGCUUCAACAGCCAGCUGGGCUCCCUCAUCCGGUGCCAUUCUGGUCAGCAUUGCCUUGUUGCCAAAUACACCUCAGGCACCAUGGAGGUGUCAGGACCGAGAGGGGCGGCGUGAUCCAGGGUGGGGCCACUGCGGGGCAGGUGUCAAUGGGGCUGCUAGUUUAGAGGUAAGUUAUAAUUCGAGGAGAGAGUGGCCCUGUCUGUCCGUCCGUCUGUCUGUCUGAAUGUUCAUGUGUGAACAGGGCCAUGUGUGUACUCGUGGAGAAAGAAGGGUAACGUCAGCUGCCAUUAUUCGGGUGCCAUCCAUUUUGGAAUUUUGAGGCAGGGUCUCUCAUGGGCUUGGAACUAGACAGGAAGUUGAGGCUGACUGGGCAGCGAGCCCCAGGGAUUCACCUGUUUCUGCCUCCCCAGCCCUGGGGUUAUAUCUUACAUGCGUUCUCGACCGGCCAGGAAAGACGCAGCAAACUGG